UACGUAGGGGGCGAGCGUUGUCCGGAAUGACUGGGCGUAAAGCGCGCGCGGGCGGCGCGCCGCGUCGGCCGUGAAAGCUCCCGGCUCAACCGGGACAGGUCGGCCGAGACGGGCGCGCUGGAGGGCGUCAGAGGGGGGUGGAAUGCCGCGUGGAGCAGUGAAAUGCGUAGAGAUGCGGCGGAACACCGGCGGCGAAGGCGGCCCCCUGGGGCGCAUCUGACGCUGAGGCGCGAAGGCCGGGGGAGCGAACGGG
rnacentral:rRNA from 1 species